UACGAAGGGGGCUAGCGUUGUUCGGAAUUACUGGGCGUAAAGCGCGCGCAGGCGGUCUUCCAAGUCAGUGGUGAAAGCCCGGAGCUCAACUCCGGAACUGCCAUUGAAACUGUGAGACUUGAGGAUGAGAGAGGUGAGUGGAAUUCCCAGUGUAGAGGUGAAAUUCGUAGAUAUUGGGAGGAACACCAGAUGCGAAGGCGGGUCACUGGGCUGAUACUGACGCUAAAGCGCGAAAGCCAGGGGAGCGAACGGG
rnacentral:rRNA from 1 species